rnacentral:rRNA from 1 species
UACAGAGGUGGCAAGCGUUGCUCGGUAUCACUGGGCUUAAAGCGCGUGUAGGCGGCUCGGUAAGUCCGCUCUGAAAGUCCAGGGCUCAACCCUGGGAUGCGGGUGGAUACUGCCGGGCUCGAGUCCGGAAGAGGCGAGUGGAAUUCCCGGUGUAGCGGUGAAAUGCGCAGAUAUCGGGAGGAACACCAGUGGCGAAGGCGGCUCACUGGCCCGAUACUGACGCUGAGGCACGAAAGCGUGGGGAGCAAACAGG